rnacentral:rRNA from 1 species
UAGUUGGUGGGGUAAAGGCCUACCAAGGCGACGAUCUGUAGCGGGUCUGAGAGGAUGAUCCGCCACACUGGAACUGAGACACGGUCCAGACUCCUACGGGAGGCAGCAGUGGGGAAUUUUGGACAAUGGGGGCAACCCUGAUCCAGCCAUGCCGCGUGAGUGAAGAAGGCCUUCGGGUUGUAAAGCUCUUUCGUCCGGGAAGAAAUCGCACAGGCUAAUACUCUGUGUGGAUGACGGUACCGGAAUAAGAAGCACCGGCUAACUACGUGCCAGCAGCCGCGGUAAUACGUAGGGUGCGAGCGUUAAUCGGAAUUACUGGGCGUAAAGCGUGCGCAGGCGGUUUUGUAAGACAGGCGUGAAAUCCCCGGGCUCAACCUGGGAACUGCGCUUGUGACUGCAAGGCUAGAGUACGGCAGAGGGGGGUGGAAUUCCACGUGUAGCAGUGAAAUGCGUAGAGAUGUGGAGGAACACCGAUGGCGAAGGCAGCCCCCUGGGCCGAUACUGACGCUCAUGCACGAAAGCGUGGGUAGCAAACAGGAUUAGAUACCCUGGUAGUCCACGCCCUAAACGAUGUCAACUAGGUGUUGGGUGGGUAAAACCAUUUAGUACCGUAGCUAACGCGUGAAGUUGACCGCCUGGGGAGUACGGCCGCAAGGUUAAAACUCAAAGGAAUUGACGGGGACCCGCACAAGCGGUGGAUGAUGUGGAUUAAUUCGAUGCAACGCGAAAAACCUUACCUACCCUUGACAUGUCCGGAAUCCCUGAGAGAUUGGGGAGUGCCCGAAAGGGAAUCGGAACACAGGUGCUGCAUGGCUGUCGUCAGCUCGUGUCGUGAGAUGUUGGGUUAAGUCCCGCAACGAGCGCAACCCUUGUCGUUAAUUGCCAUCAUUCAGUUGGGCACUUUAGCGAGACUGCCGG